AGAAGCACGGGGAAAAAGAGAGCAGGAGGAGGAAAUCAGGGAAAUCAGGAAAUCAAAUCUGCGUGGUUCAGAGGUGCACGCAGAGGUGCGAAAGGACGACUGAGGAUUGGAUAAGAAGCGAGGGAGGAUUGUCAUGUGUAAGAUCGGCACAAACACGGAUCAAAAAAUGAUGGACGUAUCAUGCAGCGAGAGAAAAAACAAGGAAAGCGGCGACGGCGGUGUUGUUGGUGAGAUUUGAACCGAGGAUAAUGUUCUCUUUGGAUAGUCAGCGGGCGUGUAAAUUGUGCAUAUAAAGCCGUUUGGAAGCGAUUCCUCUGGACAGCCUGCGAGGACAGGACGACUACCUGCCUGCUGCCUGGAAGGAGAUAAUCGAUAGCAGGAAAUCGAGGCGUGGAGACACUCGUGAGCAGUUUAGCGCCGAUAAAAGUGGCCAGUGUGGAUAUUUGGAUAUAAGAGGGUGGCUCUGUAAAGUUUGGGACGGAAUAAAAGACAACAGCAUUCGAUUCUUGCGGCGUCGAUCAUCAUUACACACUCGAGAAUUGCACUGGAAGCGGCGUGAAUAGUGAUGCACACACAAAGACAGGGGUCCUAUCUUUCACCGGCAUCUAUUCUACAAGGGAAGGAAGGAAAGAGACUCGAGUGCAGGAGAAACCAUUGUGUGCUCUGUGCGUUGAAACGAUGAUCCUGUUCUUCUGGAAUAUUCCCUAGAUCUCGCUCAAGUCUAUUUUAUUCCCAACGCUCGAUAAUGACUGUUUAUAGCUGCUAUAACGUAAGAGAGAACAGGAACCUGGUCCAUGGACAUUCCACGACUUUAAACGGAUAAAGAAAUGUAUGAUGCUUCGUUGUUUAAUGUAUUAAUAUUGUAAUCACUGGAAAUUCCACUUAUCUGUAGUAUAAGAGGAAUAAAACACUUCACGAUGAGCUGUUAUGCGGUCCCUCUAUGAUUUAGCAAAUUUACGAUCGCAGAAAUGAGCGCAAAAUCAAGGAAACCGCAAUAUUGGGAGGAGCUUGUAAUUUUUCACAACGACCGCAGAUUUUCCGCAGAUCCGGGCCGAGACGUGUCACAACGCACGUUCAGCCAAAGCCGUCUUCGAUUCACGUGCGUCGAAUGUGAAUACAGCUAAAAGGUCUUGUUUACCAACAAACAUCACUUACUUCCUGGUUGUUUUUCAACACUAAACAACCCUAUUGUUCAAUGAUUUACCUUAAGACUGGUCCUCAAAUUAAUUCUGAAAUAAGUCUGAAACUGAAAACAUGUUUUACUACAUUGCCAUACACGACAAUUACGCACAUGUGCAGCUAUUUACCGAAAGCUUUGUUAGCAUUAGCAUGAGCACUGUAGCUGCUAUCUGCUUACACGCAAUCACUAAUAAAAGAGCAAAACAAGAUGACAUUUAAUUUCACUUAAUAAUUGUGCUGUCAAUGUUUAUAAAUAGAAGUUAAAAAAAUAACUCCAACUGCUCAUCACAUCCGUUUGAUUUUACCCUCCAAACUCGAAAUCUUUCCACAUUAAUACACACCACAGAUAUGUUGUUAAAGACUGAUUUGAGCUCUUAGCUGAAAAAUUAGCAACGUAGCUGCUAUUUACAUAGGUUGUUGCUCCUGUUAGGAUCUCCUGUAAAAUGGUUCCUGUGCACUUCUUUCAACGUGUAGCUCAGGA
ensembl:lncRNA